ACUUCUUGGAGUGGUGACCGUGGUUUCGUGGAUUUUGUACAAACCAAACCCUAGUUACUUCGGUGAAGUUUUACAGUGGCUGGUCCGGUUUGCAAUUGUUGGACCGAUCAUCAUAUAUCCGGUGUUAUAUGGAAUCUAUUGUCUUAUUGUGAGACCAAAAGACAAAACUUUCAUUCGUCCUCAGCGGGAUUGGGGUCCUUCUCUCGUGACACAUCGCCACCUAGUGACGUACGAUCCGGCCUUCGUGGUGGAUCCUUACCACGAGGAGAUGUACUUGACAACGCGCAACGCAAAAGAAU